AGUGGCCUAUGAUGAAUAAAAGUUUUGCCUACAUUGUCUGAUUGAUUACUAUGAAGAGAACUUAAUUAAGAUUUCUGAGGCCGUU